rnacentral:rRNA from 1 species
UACGGGGGGGGCAAGCGUUGUUCGGAAUUACUGGGCGUAAAGGGCUUGUAGGCGGCCAACUAAGUCCGACGUGAAAUCCCCAGGCUUAACCUGGGAACUGCGUCGGAUACUGGAUGGCUUGAAUUCGGGAGAGGGAUGCAGAAUUCCAGGUGUAGCGGUGAAAUGCGUAGAGAUCGGGAGGAACACCGGUGGCGAAGGCGGGUCUCUGGGCAUCUCCUGACGCUGAGGCGCGAAAGCGUGGGGAGCAAACGGG